GGUGAUAUGGAAUACCGAGAACAACUGCAUUUCUACUAUUUUUUUGCGGUUAUUUUUAUCUACUUCAUGUUCAAGCUUGUGAACUGUUUUAGACAAAUUUUGUUGAGAAUUUUUCAUUUUAUCAAUUUCAUGCUUCAAGCAUCCAUUCUCUUCUUUCAGUUCUUGAAAGUCGGUUACUAUUUCAUCAAACUUUGACGACAGGAAAUCUUGUGACUUUUCUAUGGCAGCAGUGAUUUGUUUCAUUUCGCUUCUGAAGUCUUGCAUUUCCUGGGAUACUGCAUUGGCAACAGCACCCCUUAGCUCAACUGCAAGUGAUCCCACAAUCGAAGCUUUGUUGUCCUGCAUCUCAAUGAUCCGUUGAUAGAUACUCGAACAGUUAUGAGAGCAAAAAUACAUUUUCUCCUUGAUGCGUCGCGCAGAGUUCGCGGUUAUGUUGCGGCACUUGAGAUGUGCAUCAGUGAAACAGUACAUACAAGUCAAGAGUUUACUACGGUCCUUCUGGUCUUCUGAUCAAAAUGAAAAGCUAGUAAACAGCACAACUUUGCCUAUGUAGGCUCUUCGUGUCAACUUUGUUUAAAAUAAAUUAUUAGUUGCGAAUAACAAGCUGAGAUAGAUAGUCUAUAUGUCUAUAUGUCGGGAAGGUAAACAGACAGUUGGGUGAGAAUGCAACACACUAUUAAAGAUCUAUAAAUACUACAAUUGGAAUUGACAUGAUAUUCUAGCGAAUUGAAAUAACAGAUACAAAUAGAGACGCAUCCAAAAACAGGCCUUUUGACUAUGUAUAUGUAUAAAGUUUACCACAGGUAAGUCAGCAAACUGAUACUGCAAGAGAUUUCUGAUUCCACAGUUACUCAUAAACUGAACGUGGAAGUAUGUUUUCCAGCCUACCAGAUUGAACCAAUCAACCACAGACCAGAUAUUUGUUCGUCAAGUAACCGUUUGGGCGGCAAAGGGUAUCACAAUAUCAAGUCUUUAUUGUAGGAGCGAGACCAUUAUGCGAAUCGAUCAGAGUUCCAUCAAAUGCUAAGCGCUUGUCAAGUAACCGUUUGGGCGGCAGAGGAUAGCACGAAAAGCUUUCGAAAGAGACUGCAACGUCACAAAUAUUCCAUCACCCCAAUACAACAGUAGCAGCAAGAUAACGCAGCAGCAACAACAACAACCACAGGCUAAUUCUCAGCCUGAUAAUAGGUCAAACAAUAACCCCUUCUGGUAACGUUGAGCUAUGUGAAAAAUGAUUUUUUGUACGUUUAUUCUAUCACAAUAUCACAAAUAACAUCACUCGGUCUACAAAUAGCGUUAUCACUACCAAUUACAUUACUUGUAAUGAAAUAAGCUUGCAAAUAAAU